AUAAGCGGAGGAAAAGAAACCAACAGGGAUUGCCCUAGUAACGGCGAGUGAAGCGGCAACAGCUCAAAUUUGAAAUCUGGCUCCUUUGGGGUCCGAGUUGUAAUUUGUAGAGGGUGCUUUGGCGUUGGUUGUGGUCUAAGUUCCUUGGAACAGGACGUCACAGAGGGUGAGAAUCCCGUACGUGGCCGCCAGCCUCCGCCGUGUAAAGCCCCUUCGAUGAGUCGAGUUGUUUGGGAAUGCAGCUCUAAAUGGGAGGUAAAUUUCUUCUAAAGCUAAAUAUUUGCCAGAGACCGAUAGCGCACAAGUAGAGUGAUCGAAAGAUGAAAAGCACUUUGGAAAGAGAGUCAAAAAGCACGUGAAAUUGUUGAAAGGGAAGCGCUUGCAGCUAGACGUGCCUUGGGUUGAUCAGCCGGACUUUUGCCCGGUGCACUCUUCCUUUGGCAGGCCAGCAUCAGUUUGGGCGGCUGGAUAAAGGUCUGUUAAACGUGACUUCCUUCGGGGAGAGCUUAUAGGGCAGACGACAUGCAGCCAGCCUGAACUGAGGUCCGCGCAUCUGCUAGGAUGCUGGCGUAAUAGCUGUAAGCGGCCCGUCUUGAAACACGGACCAAGGAGUCUAACAUCUAUGCGAGUGUUUGGGUGUCAAGCCCGAGCGCGUAAUGAAAGUAAACGGAGGUGGGAACCUUUUAGGUGCACCAUCGACCGAUCCUGAUGUCUUCGGAUGGAUUUGAGUAAGAGCAUAGCUGUUGGGACCCGAAAGAUGGUGAACUAUGCCUGAAUAGGGUGAAGCCAGAGGAAACUCUGGUGGAGGCUCGCAGCGGUUCUGACGUGCAAAUCGAUCGUCAAAUUUGGGCAUAGGGGCGAAAGACUAAUCGAACUAUCUAGUAGCUGGUUCCUGCCGAAGUUUCCCUCAGGAUAGCAGUAACGUUUUCAGUUUUAUGAGGUAAAGCGAAUGAUUAGAGGCCUGGGGGUUGAAACAACCUUCACCUAUUCUCAAACUUUAAAUAUGUAAGAAGUCCUUGUUACUUAAUU
rnacentral:rRNA from 1 species